GGAAUUUUGGGCAAUGGGCGAAAGCCUGACCCAGCAACGCCGCGUGAAGGAUGAAGUAUUUCGGUAUGUAAACUUCGAAAGAAUGGGAAGAAUAAAUGACGGUACCAUUUAUAAGGUCCGGCUAACUACGUGCCAGCAGCCGCGGUAAUACGUAGGGACCAAGCGUUGUUCGGAUUUACUGGGCGUAAAGGGCGCGUAGGCGGCGUGUCAAGUCAAUUGUGAAAUCUCCGAGCUUAACUCGGAACUGCCAAUUGAUACUGAUGUGCUAGAGUGCAGAAGGGGCAAUCGGAAUUCUUGGUGUAGCGGUGAAAUGCGUAGAUAUCAAGAGGAACACCUGAGGUGAAGACGGGUUGCUGGGCUGACACUGACGCUGAGGCGCGAAAGCUAGGGUAGCAAA
rnacentral:rRNA from 1 species